AUGAACGCUAGCGACAGGCCUAACACAUGCAAGUCGAGGGGCAGCACAAGGAGCAAUCUGAGGUGGCGACCGGCGCACGGGUGAGUAACACGUAUGCAACCUGCCUGUAAGCGGGGAAUAACCCGUUGAAAGACGGACUAAUACCGCAUAAUACUAAAUUACUGCAUGGUAAUUUAUUUAAACAUUUAUGGCUUACAGAUGGGCAUGCGCAUGAUUAGCUAGUUGGAGAGGUAACGGCUCCCCAAGGCAACGAUCAUUAGGGGUUCUGAGAGGAAGGUCCCCCACACUGGUACUGAGGCACGGACCAGACUCCUACGGGAGGCAGCAGUGAGGAAUAUUGGUCAAUGGACGAGAGUCUGAACCAGCCAAGUCGCGUGCAGGAAGAAUGUCCCUAUGGAUUGUAAACUGCUUUUGCAGGGGAAUAAAGUGCAUCACGUGUGAUGUUUUGUAUGUACUCUGCGAAUAAGGAUCGGCUAACUCCGUGCCAGCCGCCGC
rnacentral:rRNA from 1 species